rnacentral:rRNA from 1 species
UUGCUCCCUGAUGUUAGCGGCGGACGGGUGAGUAACACGUGGGUAACCUGCCUGUAAGACUGGGAUAACUCCGGGAAACCGGGGCUAAUACCGGAUGGUUGUUUGAACCGCAUGGUUCAAACAUAAAAGGUGGCUUCGGCUACCACUUACAGAUGGACCCGCGGCGCAUUAGCUAGUUGGUGAGGUAAUGGCUCACCAAGGCAACGAUGCGUAGCCGACCUGAGAGGGUGAUCGGCCACACUGGGACUGAGACACGGCCCAGACUCCUACGGGAGGCAGCAGUAGGGAAUCUUCCGCAAUGGACGAAAGUCUGACGGAGCAACGCCGCGUGAGUGAUGAAGGUUUUCGGAUCGUAAAGCUCUGUUGUUAGGGAAGAACAAGUACCGUUCGAAUAGGGCGGUACCUUGACGGUACCUAACCAGAAAGCCACGGCUAACUACGUGCCAGCAGCCGCGGUAAUACGUAGGUGGCAAGCGUUGUCCGGAAUUAUUGGGCGUAAAGGGCUCGCAGGCGGUUUCUUAAGUCUGAUGUGAAAGCCCCCGGCUCAACCGGGGAGGGUCAUUGGAAACUGGGGAACUUGAGUGCAGAAGAGGAGAGUGGAAUUCCACGUGUAGCGGUGAAAUGCGUAGAGAUGUGGAGGAACACCAGUGGCGAAGGCGACUCUCUGGUCUGUAACUGACGCUGAGGAGCGAAAGCGUGGGGAGCGAACAGGAUUAGAUACCCUGGUAGUCCACGCCGUAAACGAUGAGUGCUAAGUGUUAGGGGGUUUCCGCCCCUUAGUGCUGCAGCUAACGCAUAAGCACUCCGCCUGGGGAGUACGGUCGCAAGACUGAAACUCAAAGGAUUGACGGGGCCCGCACAAGCGUGGAGCAUGUGGUUU